UUUCUGUCUCAUGUGAGUAAGAACUCAGCCAUAUUUGCCAUCUACAGCUGUGUGUGGCUGUUGUCACAUUGCUGUGGCGGAAUCGAGUGGUGAGACAGUGACCAUGGUGACCUUUGCAGAUUGAGGUGAUUGAGGUUCUGGCCCGUUUCUUACAUGUUUUCCUUAUUCCUGCUUUUUGAUCCAUUCAGUAUGGUCCCCAUGGUUCUAAUUAGUUUCUUUUGAUUCUUGUUUUCAAAUUGUUGUUUUUAAGUUAUAAACUCGGGGGCUUUUCAGUUCCCUGGAAAGUGUGUGGUGCACCCACCCACCCUCCAGAGGUAGCGGUGACAUUGGGCGCUGUGGUAGUACAGCAGGGUCACAUCUUUAAUCCCUGUCCUCAGCCAUAGGCAGGCACAUAGCACAGGCGCUGUCACAGCUACUGAGCCACAAAUUCUGUGAUAAAAUUCACAAAUUCUUAGACGUACACUGGCAGUGAAGCACAGCGGUAGAGUGCUAGCCUAGCUCGUGCGAGGACCUGGGUCUCAUCCCUAACACAGGAAACAGGCAGCACCCCACACAGCAGCACAGCCCCACCAGGACUUGACUCCAGAGUCACAGUAGGCUAGAUGUGCAGUGUACCCCAGUGUGUCAGACUUCAGGAGGCUGAGGCAGGAGGAUCACAUGCUUUAAGUCAGUUCAUUGACUUACAGAGACCACAUCUCACAAAAAGAAGAUAAGGUUUUUAGAGUUCAAUGAUUAGACGGAUGUUAGGAACAGUAGUGGUUUUCCGAGUAGACUAUACUGGAAACCCCUGUGAUAAUAAACAGACAUUACAGCAAGCCUGCCGCCCUCCAGCAAAACAGCGUACCCAGUUCGUCAAGUACAAGGAAAAGACCCAAGACUCUGAGAUACAGGAAGGACUCAGUCAGCAGGUCUGACUUGGCUCUGCAACACAGCAAAGUGCACAGCACAUUGGAAAAGUAAAAGCGUGUCUGACUUUUUCUAUUGUAUGAUUGUUCUCUGUGCUGAACGUGGGCUUUCAAUAUGCCUUAACCUAAUGAAAUCGUUCUUGCUUUCUUCCAGCCAUGGUCUGAAAAAGUUCUUCAGUUGCCGUGGGAUAGCAAUUGCAGUUGAAUAUUUUUGGAAGCUUGGCAACAGAAACAUCACUGUGUUUGUCUCACAGUGGAGAACAAGGCGCGAUCCUAAUGUCACAGACUUGGGAGUUAAAUGUUGGGGUGAAAACCUGCUACCUCAGAGGAGCUGAGAUGCAACCAGCUGGCCUUCUUUCCAGCCAGAGACCCAGCAAGAGAAGCAUCUCUCCACACCGUUCCAAACCAAAAGGGACUAUGAAUCUCUAAGCCCUCCCUUCUUCCCAUGCAUCUUUCUCUCUGUCUUCUCAGGUCCUCUGUACUCUCUAUUGUUAAUUCUUGCCAACUAGUCAUUGACUCUGAACCCUGAUCCAAGGUUAACUUUAUUGACACAGUCUUGGAGUGUCACAGUGUGACCAAAUAUCCCACAGCAUUUUCUCGUCUCCUUUGUCUAAAUAAAAAGGAAAGGUUCUAACUCUGACACAGCAAAACUAUACACAAUAAGAACCAUUAUCAGAUAUGAAUUACGUUCAUAAUGCCUAGUCCACUGGUUUUUUGGCAGAUUCAGAGGAAGUGCUCUAUUGUCUACAGUGGUGGGGCUGUAAGGCCCUUGGGGCCAGGGUAAAGACACUGAGGGACCUCGGUGGGAGAAGCUGCCCACAGAGUGACUGUGGGCAGUGGGGAGAAUUGGUGGCUUCAGAAGUUGCUGUGCAAUCUUGUGCCAUGCGUUGGAUGCCAAAUGUUGUUUUUGUGUAAGUUGUCCUAUUUACCAAUAAAGAUUCAGGAGUCAGAA